GACGAACCGAGCGAACGUUGUUCGGAAUCACUGGGCUUAAAGGGCGCGUAGGCGGGCAUUCAAGUCCGUGGUGAAAUCCGGCAGCUUAACUGUCGAACUGCCGCGGAUACUGGGUGCCUCGAGGGAGGUAGGGGCGUGCGGAACUGAUGGUGGAGCGGUGAAAUGCGUUGAUAUCAUCAGGAACUCCGGUGGCGAAGGCGGCACGCUGGACCUCUUCUGACGCUGAGGCGCGAAAGCCAGGGGAGCAAACGGG
rnacentral:rRNA from 1 species